rnacentral:rRNA from 1 species
AGCAGCCGCGGUAAUUCCAGCUCCAAUAGCGUAUAUUAAAGUUGUUGCAGUUAAAAAGCUCGUAGUUGAAUUUCGGAAUCAAUUUAUUGGUCGUGCAAUAGUACGUACUGGUUUUAUUGGUUCCUCCCUUCUGAUGAACCAUGAUGUCAUUAAUUUGGUGUUAUGGGGAAUCAGGACUGUUACUUUGAAAAAUUAGAGUGUUUAAAGCAGGCUCACGCUUGAAUACAUUAGCAUGGAAUAAUGAAAUAGGACGUUUGAUUCUAUUUUGUUGGUUUCUAGGAUCGACGUAAUGAUUAAUAGGGAUAGUUGGGGGCAUCAGUAUUCAAUUGUCAGAGGUGAAAUUCUUGGAUUUAUUGAAGACUAACUACUGCGAAAGCAUUUGCCAAGGAUGUUUUCAUUAAUCAAGAACGAAAGUUAGGGGAUCGAAGACGAUCAGAUACCGUCGUAGUCUUAACCAUAAACUAUGCCGACUAGGGAUCGGAUGAUGUUAAUUUUUAAUGACUCAUUCGGCGCCUUAAC